UCUACAAAUGACUCAAUUUUGCUCCUUUUUUAUAGCUGAACAAUAUUCCAGUGUAUAUAUACGGAUCAUAUCGUCCUUAUCUAUUCACUCUGUUCCCAAACACCACCACCUUUGGAACAGAACUAUUUCAUUAAGUGGACUCUGACAAUCCAAGGAGGGGAAGGAAGCAAAUUGGAAACAUGAUAAUUUCAUUUCCUGAAGCUCCAGAGAAGCUUCAUACUCUUCGGAGGACUUAAGCUCAGAAGUUUAUAAGCCAUGGAAGGAUGAAAACUGCCCUGUCAGACUAACUACCACAUCUGAGACCUGACUGCUGGCACCUUCCAUGGUGGAGGGGAGGAGUGGACCGGAGCUCGUGAAUCGACCAGUGAAGUCAGCAACUGGUGAAGAAAGCGGGCAGAGAGAGACAGAGACGAAGCGUAAGCAGAUGAUAAAAUGACACGUUAAACAGAGAAAGCAGGGAGAACGAAAGCUGUCUGUUGAAGACAGUCAAUCAGUAGUUCAGGUAAAUCAGAAGCUCGCUCCCACAACUGCUCUGUUCUCAUCAAAGCUCAAAGCCACUGCCAGCCCCGUGGGAGGACUUGGCCAUAGCCAGGCUUGUAUGAAGCCUGUGGCUACAGCUGACUCCCAGACCUCACCUGAGUGUCCUGUGAUGCCUUGAAGACCCCAGCAUCAGCCCAAGGAACCUCCCUUCUCUGUGAGGCCCUCACACUGAGCCUCUAGAACAGGGUCAGCACACUUUUUUUGACCACGUGGCAAAUAUUUGAGACCUCCCAAAUAUGUGAGGUCAUACUGCCUGUGCAGGGACUUCUGAACUCAGGCACUGUCAGUCCAAUGCAGCCACGAGAAAGAGCCAGAAGGAGUGGGUCCCAGCAAAGUGGAUUAUGCACAACAACAUUUUCAUGUCACAGCAUCUUACUGCGUCACAAACUAUUCCUCUUCUUUUGAUGGACAUUCAGCUAUUUAAAAAACAUAAGAAGACAUUCUUGAGGGACACACAGAAAAUGGGACUUGGCCGUGAUGGGACUUGGUAGAUGGGACUUGGUCGUGAGCUGCAGUCCCCUGGCCCCUGACGGGCAUGUCUCCUGAUGGACGUGUCUGACCUUUCCAGUUGUCUCCUGUUCCCCAUUGUCCCCAUGCCACAUCGUUCCCUAGACUACUUCCUCUGCCUCACCCCCACACUCUUUCAGACCCUUCCGUCUGCACACUGGACCUGCUCUGCACAAUCUCUGUCAUCCUCUGCUUUUCUUGGAGAUUCACCUCCCGCCAUUGACAUCCUGGGUCUGGGGGAGUGGAUGCCCCUACAGACCAGUCCUGUCCACUGGAGGCUACAGGUGUAUUUGAUUCUUUUUUCGUAUCCUUGCUCUGCCAUGGAAAUUCUAGACUCCAUCUUUUUAAACCUGGUGUCUCCCCUAUAAUUUAAGGGGUAUGGCAUACAUAUCUGACUCUGCAGCCCCAUUUCCUAUUAUUCCUAGUUUCCAUUUUCCUACAUCGAUGGUUUAUCAAAGGCAGGGCGGUGGGAAUGUCUGUUCCUAGAUAUCGUUUAAAGUCACACAAGCACGGUGAUAAUAAA